AGUUGACUGCGGUGAACAUAAAAAUGGAGAAACAUUUCAAACAGAAGAUCCCUGCAUGGAACAAACGUGCAAUUAUGGAAUGUUGUCUGGUUCCGGGUGUCCUUCAUUUGCACUUCCAGAAGGCUCUAAAUGCAGAAUAGAAAACGGAAAAGGAGUAUUCCCUGCCUGUUGCGAGCAAUCCGUCUGUCCCGGAGAUCCUGGAUUUUAAGAAUCGAGAAUAGUUCUGGAAUGAUUAACUUAAAAUUAAUCGCAUGUUUUCUACAAAAAUUUUUAUUAAUGCUCAAUAAAUUUAAAAAUUACCGAGAAAUAUUUAUCCAUAUUAAACUUUAGUUAAAAAUGGUUAAAAAUAAAUAUUUCAAAAUUUUUCACUUCACCGUUGAGCAAAAAUUAUGCAUUCGGUGAUAUGUAACAAAAUAUUGAUAACCGGUUAUAAGAAAUCCAAAGCCCAUUUAUGUGACAGGCUUUUUGUAUGAUAUUAGUAUAACGUAAUUAAUCAAAAUUGUAAUGUUAUAUUUUGUAUUUUUUUUGUAUUAAAAUAACAAUCUUAAAAAUGAGUACAUUAAUUUAAGUAUCCGUUUUAGACUGUUAAAAAAAAUCUUUCUUGUGUUAUAAUAACAUAUUGUGUUGAGAAGAAAUUCUGAAAUAAAUAGUAAAUAAAACAUUCAGUAAAAUGUCUUUAUGCGACUUUGAGAGGAACCAAUGUAAAUUGUCUUAAAAGGGAAAAGAUGUGUAACGGAAAAAUAAACAAAUUUAUGGAAAUUCAA